AAAAAUAUUUUAAAAAAGUGGAAAAAGCAAAGAAGGAUGUCAUUACGUUUUCCUUCUAAAAAAAUAGAAUUAAAAGAUAAAAGAGAAGAAAAAUAGCGGAAAAGUUGUUGUUUGAAAGUGGGUGAAUGUAGUUCAACUCCCGCAGGUUCUUUCAUGUCUGUUUUCUCCCUUUGAAUCUUAGCCUAGUACCCCUUAGGAUUUAUCUCAC
rnacentral:lncRNA from 1 species